rnacentral:rRNA from 1 species
AAUGAACGCUGGCGGCAGGCCUAACACAUGCAAGUCGAGCGGAUGAACGGAGCUUUUUCCUGGCUUCAGCGGCGGACGGGCGAGUAAUUCCUAGGAAGCUGCCCGGUAUUUAGGACUAACGUCCGGAAACGGGCGCUAAUACAGCACACGUCCUGAGGUUGAAACUGGGGGUUCUUCGGACCUCACGCUAUCAGCUGAGCCUAGGUCGUAUUAGCUAGUUGGUAUGGUAAAGGCCUACCAAGGCGACGAUCCGUAACUGCUCUGAGAGGAUGAUCUGCCACACUGGAACUGAGACACGGUCCAGACUCCUACGGGAGGCAGCAGUAGGGAAUCUUCGGCAAUGGGCGAAGGCCUGACGCAGCCACGCCGCGUGAGUGAAGAAGGUCUUCGGAUUGUAAAACUCUUUAAGUUGGGAGGAAGAGCAGUAUGUUAAAACCUUGAUGUUUUGACGUUACCUACACAGAAAGCACCGGCUAACUACGUG